rnacentral:lncRNA from 1 species
GAUUUACUAGAGGCGAAAACAAAACUGUAGCUGCCUCAAAGGAAUUACAGAAGACUACUGGAAAAAAAGGAGGCAAGUCUUUGAACAAUUUUAUUUGUUUGUUUAGAGAUGUAGAUAUAGAUAUCACACACACAAAAAAUCAAAAUAAAAUAAAGCCUCCAGUCUGACAGCAUCCUUUUGUGUUACACGCCACAUUGUCUGUAAUUGUAAUAAGAUGUUUUGGGAGUGUUUCACAUGCGAUUGCUUCAUUUCUGUGCUGUGUUCAGUGGCAUCAGCAGGUGGAGAGAUAGACAUGGUGGAACCACAGGCGGAGGGUGAACCAGCUGCAGGGUAAAGCUAUGAAGUCUAUGAGGAGGGCAUGCGAUUCUGCAAGGGAUGAGAUCGAAGAAGAAGAAUUCCCAGGAAGCACGGGAAGAGAUGGAGGAGGAAACAUUACAGCAAACCUCUUGCAAGGAGUUCUCGAAGAAUAAAAAUAAACUUUAAAACUAUAAACAGAGAAGCCCUACAGAAAGAAUUGAGAUUGAGACUUUUUUUGACCCUUCAUUGACUUUUAGGUGUUUCAAUGAGAACUUGGGAAACAUUAAAUUUGGCCUCACAGAAAAAGGUGAGUCAUGUUUUAUAAGUGUUUAAAAGAGAAAGAGUGUGUGUGUUUUUUCAUCCAAAAACGAUAUUGUUUUGAGAAUGGAUAUUAGAGAUAUAUUAGGGAGGCAUAGAUGAGAGACUGUAUUCAGGUUUUUAUUUUAUUUUGCUCAGCAAGGUGCUCAGCCUUUUUUUUAGAGGUGGUUUAUAUCUCUCUCUGUGUGUGUGUGUUUAGAGUAGAAGGUGUGUGUCCUCCCUGACCCCUCCCGCAUCUUUACUGCCACCCAUCUGUUUACUGACUCAUGAAAAAUUCAUAAGUGUGUGUUUGGGAGCAGCGGAAUAAUUUUCAAUAUUUAGCCAGGCUAUGAAUACAGAUGAUGUUGAACUUUGGUGUAUUAUGGUGGCGUACGUGAAGGUGUUUGGGCGCGUAUGCUUGUAGCUGGUAUCGUGGCAGGCGGAGGUCAGCAGGCUUAAUGAGGGUCCACACGCAUGCGCUGAGUGACACCUGUGACUGGAUGGGAGGGGCGGGACAGUCUGUAGAUUCAAAGCCAAGCUGUCAAUCAAACAAAAGGUAACCAAAUGCAAUUCAUGUAAAGGAAUAACUAAAUGGAUUAGAAACCAAGCCAUUGACAAAAUGCUGUGUCAUUUUAUUGCAUCUUACUGUUAACAAAUAAUUCAUAUUUUCAUUUUGUAGCUGAAUUAAAACAGUGGCAACAAAUGAUGUAUCCCCUA